GACGAACGCUGGCGGCGUGCCUAAUACAUGCAAGUAGAACGCUGAAGAGAGGAGCUUGCUCUUCUUGGAUGAGUUGCGAACGGGUGAGUAACGCGUAGGUAACCUGCCUUGUAGCGGGGGAUAACUAUUGGAAACGAUAGCUAAUACCGCAUAACAAUGGAUGACACAUGUCAUUUAUUUGAAAGGGGCAAUUGCUCCACUACAAGAUGGACCUGCGUUGUAUUAGCUAGUAGGUGAGGUAAUGGCUCACCUAGGCGACGAUACAUAGCCGACCUGAGAGGGUGGUCGGCCACACUGGGACUGAGACACGGCCCAGACUCCUACGGGAGGCAGCAGUAGGGAAUCUUCGGCAAUGGGGGCAACCCUGACCGAGCAACGCCGCGUGAGUGAAGAAGGGUUUCGGAUCGUAAAGCUCGGUUGUAAGUCAAGAACGGGUGUGAGAGUGGAAAGUUCACGCUGUGACGGUAGCUAACCAGAAAGGGACGGCUAACUACGUG
rnacentral:rRNA from 1 species